GAUGAACGCUGGCGGCGUGCCUAAUACAUGCAAGUCGAGCGAACGGACGAGAAGCUUGCUUCUCUGAUGUUAGCGGCGGACGGGUGAGUAACACGUGGAUAACCUACCUAUAAGACUGGGAUAACUUCGGGAAACCGUAGCUAAUACCGGAUAAUAUUUUAAACCGCAUGGUUCAAAAGUGAAAGACGGUCUUGCUGUCACUUAUAGAUGGAUCCGCGCUGCAUUAGCUAGUUGGUAAGGUAACGGCUUACCAAGGCAACGAUGCAUAGCCGACCUGAGAGGGUGAUCGGCCACACUGGAACUGAGACACGGUCCAGACUCCUACGGGAGGCAGCAGUAGGGAAUCUUCCGCAAUGGGCGAAAGCCUGACGGAGCAACGCCGCGUGAGUGAUGAAGGUCUUCGGAUCGUAAAACUCUGUUAUUAGGGAAGAACAUAUGUGUAAGUAACUGUGCAUAUCUUGACGGUACCUAAUCAGAAAGCCACGGCUAACUACGUG
rnacentral:rRNA from 1 species